rnacentral:rRNA from 1 species
CACGUAGUUAGCCGGUGCUUAUUCUUCAGGUACCGUCAUUAGCGAAGGAUAUUAGCCCUCACCGUUUCUUCCCUGACAAAAGAGCUUUACAACCCGAAGGCCUUCUUCACUCACGCGGCGUUGCUGGAUCAGGCUUUCGCCCAUUGUCCAAAAUUCCCCACUGCUGCCUCCCGUAGGAGUCUGGACCGUGUCUCAGUUCCAGUGUGGCUGGUCGUCCUCUCAGACCAGCUACUGAUCGUGGCCUUGGUGAGCCUUUACCUCACCAACUAGCUAAUCAGAUAUCGGCCGCUCCAGGAGCACAAGGUCCGGAGAUCCCCUGCUUUCAUCCUUAGAUCGUAUGCGGUAUUAGCGUAACUUUCGCUACGUUAUCCCCCACUCUUGGGUACGUUCCGAUAUAUUACUCACCCGUUCGCCACUCGCCGCCAGGUUGCCCGCGCUGCCGUUCGACUUGCAUGUGUAAAGCAUGCCGCCAGCGUUCAAUCUGAGCCAGGAUCAAACU